ACAUGAUCUUGUAGAUUUUUCCUGGACCUCCAAGACAUCUGUCUGAUAUUCUAGAUUACGGAUUUCUUCUUGUCCUCUUGGGCAUGAACAAGUCACUUCCAGACAGAGGCAGAAUUAUUUUAAUAAAUGUACUGUGGAGCUUUAAGUCAGGCCCACACAGAGGGAUGGCAGGUGUGAACAUCACAGAUAGAAUGGCCUCACAGUCAGCUCCGUGAACUCAGUCUGCAGUUAAGGCUCUUGUCCUGGUGGGGCAAAAGAUAACACUAGAAUCCCCCAAGUGGUGUUGUUACACAAUUUUAAGUGCUGUCCUGCAGCCUCUUGCCAGGGUUUGUCCUUCCUUUCCAGCCCCCGUGGCUUGCUCCCUGCAUUCCAAAAUGCUGGAUGAAGAAAGAAAAACACGAAGCAUAGAAACCGUUUGUGGCGACGUUUUUGGAUCACUUCUGGUCUUGUUUUGACAAGCAGGGGCUUGCAGCUACUUUUGAUUUCAGAUAAAGCACACACUGGGAAAGCUCACUC
rnacentral:lncRNA from 1 species